rnacentral:rRNA from 1 species
UAAGCAUAUCAUUAAGUGCAGGAAAAGAAACCAAAUGGGAUUCCCUUAGUAACGGCGAGUGAAACGGGAUGAGCCCAGCGCCGAAGCCGGCAGCCGGAAGGCUGUCGUGCAAUGUGGCGUUUGGGACGACUCAAUGUCUGUGUGCAUCAUCGGCCAAAGUCACCUGGAAAGGUGUCCCAUAGAGGGUGAUAGGCCCGUACGGCCGACUGAUGUGUUCACGGACAAGUCGUCCCGCGAGUCGGGUUGCUCGCUAAUGCAGCCCUAAGCAGGUGGUAUGCUCCAUCUAAGGCUAAAUAUAACCACAAGACCGAUAGUCAACAAGUACAGUGAUGGAAAGUUGAAAAGCACUCUGAAGAGAGAGUCAAACAGCCCGUGAAGCUGCUCUUUAUGGGAUUAAGCGCACGUGUGACACGUGUCGUGCAACAAAUAGGCGACCGGCUCUCGGUUUGCCGGUCGGUUGUCUUUGCACUGCGCGUGCGAGCGGCAACUGACUGGCGUGUACGCCGGACGCUGAGCGCUUUCCUUUGUUGCACACUGACAGGUCGUGCUGUCGUUGCAGCCGGCGGUCCCAAUGCCGAUUGUGUGAUUUGUCGAGCCGGUGUCGGCUGGCGUGGUCGCAAUUCGCGACCGCGUCGGCGGCGCGCUGAACUGGCGUACUCAACACUGGGUACGACAGCGUCGGUGCCGGUCGACAAUGCAAUGCACGCGCGCUGGAGACCGUGCGACGAGCAGUUUGUGCGCCGUGGUGCGUUCCGGCUUGCCGGAGCGCACUCAGACGUCGACCUCUGUGUUGUCACGUGCGGCCCGUCUUGAAACACGGACCAAGGAGUCUAACAUGUGAGCAAGCGUUCGAGAUUUGUCACGAAUCUCGAACGCACAAUGAAAGUGAAGUGUCGCACAUACACGAGCGGCACAAGCGGGGAUCGCGGUAAAACGCGAGCACCCGCGGGCUACGCCAUCGACUAGCUUGCCGGUUCAUUCUGGCACUGUCGUGGCGUGGACCUAGAGCUGACACGCUGAGACCCGAAAGAUGGUGAACUAUGCUUGGCGAGGAUGAAGCCAGGGGAAACCCUGGUGGAGGUCCGUCGCGGUUCUGACGUGCAAAUCGAUCGUUUUAGCUGAGUAUAGGGGCGAAAGACCAAUCGAACCAUCUAGUAGCUGGUUCCGCCUGAAGUUUCCCUCAGGAUAGCUGGCGCUCGAAUGAUACGGAGUUUCAUCCGGUAAAGCGAAUGAUCAGAGGAGCUGGGCUGAUCUGAAGCUCAACCUAUUCUCAAACUUUCAAUGGGUGAGACGUCUCGCUGGCUUCACUGCAGCGACGACUCUGAAUCUGAGAGCCUAGUGGGCCACUUUUGGUAAGCAGAACUGGCGAUGCGGGAUGAACCGCAUAUCGAGUUGAGGUGCCUAAGCGAACGCUAAUCAGAUACCAUGAAAGGUGUUGAUUGCUCACGACAGCAGGACGGUGGCCAUGGAAGUCGGCAUCCGCUAAGGAGUGUGUAACAACUCACCUGCCGAAGCAAUCAGCCCUGAAAAUGGAUGGCGCUACAGCGUUCCACCGAUACUCGACCGUCGUCGGCAUGUGCCGUGUGCGCGCAAGCGUGCACGCGUUUCAGGCCACGACGAGUAAGGCGGCGUGGCGGUGCGCGUUGAAGGCGUGGUCGUGAGACCAGCUGGAGCCGCCGUCAGUGCAGAUCUUGGUGGUAGUAGCAAAUACACAAGCAAGACCCUUGUGGACCGAUGUGGAGAAGGGUUCCGCGCGAACAAUAUUUGGACGUGGGUGAGUCGGCCCUAAGCCAACGGGUAAUUCCCGCUUCCCGGUGUACGGUCAGUGCAGACACACACUCACGCACACACCGGGUUGGUGGCGAAAGGGAAUCC